rnacentral:rRNA from 1 species
UCAACGGCAUCACGAGGAUCCUACUGUCUCCCCCCUCUAAUCAGUGAAACUGAUCUCCCCGUGAAGAAGCGGGGAUAUACAUAUAAGACGAGAAGACCCCAUGGAGCUUUAAACCUGACAGCACCCGCUCAUUCUAUACCCCAUUAUUUGCCCGACCCCUGUCUGCUCAGUUUUAGGUUGGGGUGACCACGGAGUAUAAAAUAACCUCCAUGAAGAAGGGGAUAUUUCCCUUAUUAGAGAACUACACUUCCAAGAACUAAUAAAUUAAUUUUCAAUGACCCGAUACCCGAUAAUCGAUCAACGAACCAAGUUACCCUGGGGAUAACAGCGCAAUCCACCCUGAAAGCCCUUAUUAACAGGUGGGUUUACGACCUCGAUGUUGGAUCAGGGUAUCCCAGUGGUGCAGCAGCUACUGAGGGUUCGUUUGUUCAACGAUUAAAACCCU